CAGUAGCCACGGUAAUACGUAUGUCACAAGCGUUAUCCGGAUUUAUUGGGCGUAAAGCGCGUCUAGGUGGUUAUGUAAGUCUGAUGUGAAAAUGCAGGGCUCAACUCUGUAUUGCGUUGGAAACUGUGUAACUAGAGUACUGGAGAGGUAAGCGGAACUACAAGUGUAGAGGUGAAAUUCGUAGAUAUUUGUAGGAAUGCCGAUGGGGAAGCCAGCUUACUGGACAGAUACUGACGCUAAAGCGCGAAAGCGUGGGUAGCAAACAGGAUUAGAUACCCCCGUAGUCCCUGUCUCUUAUACA
rnacentral:rRNA from 1 species